AACGCUGGCGGCGUGCUUAACACAUGCAAGUCGAACGAGGGAAUUGAAAGCUUGCUUUGAAACCCGAGUGGCAAACGGGUGAGUAACGCGUAGGCAACCUGCCGUUGAGAUGGGGACAACAUCCCGAAAGGGGUGCUAAUACCGAAUGUUGUGGCGAAUCCGCAUGGAUUUGCUACUAAAGAUGACCUCUAUUUAUAAGUUAUCGCUCAACGAUGGGCCUGCGUCUGAUUAGCUAGUUGGUGGGGCAACGGCCUACCAAGGCGACGAUCAGUAGCCGGUCUGAGAGGAUGAACGGCCACAUUGGAACUGAGACACGGUCCAGACUCCUACGGGAGGCAGCAGUGGGGAAUCUUCCGCAAUGGGCGAAAGCCUGACGGAGCAACGCCGCGUGAGUGAAGAAGGCCUUCGGGUCGUAAAGCUCUAUCAGCAGGGAAGAAGACGACGG
rnacentral:rRNA from 1 species